UAGUUGUUGAUUUGUUGCUGCUAUACAAUAUUUGGUUAAUUGUGGAAGAUCUCAAGCUGUGCUCAUCACUGCUCCUGCGAAGGCUGCUGCCAGCUGCUAGAAGCAGAGCCUGCUGCUACAGGAUGUACACUAUUCACAGGAGCAGCCUCUCAGCGCUGAUUAUCACUGAAGAGUUCCCCGCUCUCCAUCACUCCGCGCCCUGCACGCAACCGGACUGCCGAGCACGGGGAGGUAGGCUGCCUGCCCUCGCUCCAGGCCACUGCUUACAAAGUAUCCACAAUAAAUCCAAACAGUGGGAUGGAGACAGAGAUUGACUAAGUGAAACCUGCCCUAAGUGUGCACCCAAGAGAUCAACAGAAAUCAAUUUGCCUUGCAGAGGUGCCUCCUGCUUCAGAAAGCUCUUCACUGCCAUGGACCUCCCAGGGAAGCCUGUGUACAUGUUUUUGUUUGACUUUGGUGGCUACUGUAGCUAUUAUUUAUUAAUCAGCUUUUUGGGUGAGGAACCAGCCGGGAGCUCACACGCCGAGGUCCUGGUCCACGCACGGAGCUCCCGGACACGGUGCCAGCCCAUGUAUUAUGAAUUACAUGGCAGCAACAAAUUCUCUUCUUCGCCAGCCGUGUCGGCUGUCCAGGUCCUUGCCUGCCAUAAGGAUGAAGAACUGUCAGGUUCCAACUCCAAAAAUCCUUCCUGCUCCCUCCUCUGCGCUGCAGCCCAUGCUGGCCUAGUUUUGAAGCAUGCUGGAUAAUGGAUGUGAGCAGCUAAAAUUUCCUUCCUGUGUAAGAUAACGUGCCCUUUCUAAUAUUAAUUUCCAGAGGUCCCCAAGCUCUUUAGCAAUUUAAUAAAUCCAGGUGGGCACUUAAAAAUAGUGAGUAUUGACAGGCCCUCUGAUAAUAACAAAUACGUGAAAACGGCUGUUGGUUAAAAUUUUGCUGAGAAACUAUUUUUGUCCUUGGGCAACAUUUUGUUACUCUGCUUGCAUGCCUCGGUGUGUUUCCUACUGAGCUGGCUAUAUAGUUUUAUAGAUAUAACAAUACAUACGCACGCAUGCAUUAUCUAUAUAUCUCUUGUUUGCUAAACCUGAAGUAAUUUUUGUAAUUAUACACAUAAUGUAUUUUACCCAAAUACACAAAGAAGAUUUUUUUUUUUUAAAUGCCACUUAGGAUCUAGAUUUAAC